rnacentral:rRNA from 1 species
GAUGAACGCUGGCGGCGUGCCUAAUACAUGCAAGUCGAGCGAACGGACGAGAAGCUUGCUUCUCUGAUGUUAGCGGCGGACGGGUGAGUAACACGUGGAUAACCUACCUAUAAGACUUGGAUAACUUCGGGAAACCGGAGCUAAUACCGGAUAAUAUUUUGAAUCGCAUGGUUCAAAAGUUAAAGACGGUCUUGCUGUCACUCAUAGAUGGAUCCGCGCUGCAUUAGCUAGUUUGUAAGGUAACGGCUUAUCAAGCCAACGAUGCAUAGCCGACCUGAGAGGGUGCUCGGCCACGCUGGAGCUGAGGCACGUUCCAGACUCCAACGGGAAGCUGCAGAAGGGAAUCCUCCGCGAUGGGCAGUAGCCUAACGGUGCAACGCCGCGUGAGUGGUGAAGGUCGUCUGAUCGUAAGACUCUGUUAUUAGGGAAGAACAUAUGUGUAAGUAACUGUGCACAUCUUGACAGUACCUAAUCAGAAAACCACAGCUAACUACGUG